rnacentral:rRNA from 1 species
UUGACCUCGGAUCAGGUAGGACUACCCGCUGAACUUAAGCAUAUCAAUAAGCGGAGGAAAAGAAACCAACAGGGAUUGCCCCAGUAACGGCGAGUGAAGCGGCAACAGCUCAAAUUUGAAAUCUGGCCUUCGGGUCCGAGUUGUAAUUUGGAGAGGAUGCUUCUGGCGCGGCGCCGUCCGAGUUCCUUGGAACAGGACGCCAUAGAGGGUGAGAGCCCCGUACGGGCGGACGCCUAGCCUUUGUGAAGCUCCUUCGACGAGUCGAGUAGUUUGGGAAUGCUGCUCAAAAUGGGAGGUAAAUUUCUUCUAAAGCUAAAUACCGGCCAGAGACCGAUAGCGCACAAGUAGAGUGAUCGAAAGAUGAAAAGCACUUUGAAAAGAGGGUUAAAAAGUACGUGAAAUUGUUGAAAGGGAAGCGCCUGUGACCAGACUUGCUGCCCGCGGAUCAUCCGGCGUUCUUCGCCGGUGCACUCCGCGGGUGGCAGGCCAGCAUCGGUUCUCCUAGGGGGUUAAAGGCCGCGGGAACGUGGCUCCUUCGGGAGUGUUAUAGCCCGCGGCGUCAUGCCUCUGGGGGGACCGAGGACCGCGCUUCGGCAAGGAUGCUGGCGUAAUGGACACCGGCGACCCGUCUUGAAACACGG